CCUACGGGAGGCAGCAGUGAGGAAUAUUGGUCAAUGGGCGCGAGCCUGAACCAGCCAAGUCGCGUGAGGGAAGACGGUCCUAUGGAUUGUAAACCUCUUUUGUCGGGGAGCAAAAGCCGCUACGCGUGGCGUUCCGAGAGUAACCGAAGAAAAAGCAUCGGCUAACUCCGUGCCAGCAGCCGCGGUAAUACGGAGGAUGCGAACGUUAUCCGGAUUUAUUGGGUUUAAAGGGUGCGCAGGCGGAAUGUCAAGUCAGCGGUAAAAUUGAGAGGCUCAACCUCUUCGAGCCGUUGAAACUGGUGUUCUUGAGUGAGUGAGAAGUAUGCGGAAUGCGUGGUGUAGCGGUGAAAUGCAUAGAUAUCACGCAGAACUCCGAUUGCGAAGGCAGCAUACCGGCGCUCAACUGACGCUCAUGCACGAAAGUGUGGGUAUCGAACAGGAUUAGAUACCCCUGUAGUC
rnacentral:rRNA from 1 species